rnacentral:SRP_RNA from 1 species
GCCGGGCGUGGUGGCGCACGCCUGUAGUCCUAGCUAUUCGGGAGCCUGAGGCAGGAGAAUUGCUUGAACCCAGGAGGCUGAGGGUGCAGUGAGCCGAGAUCGCGCCACUGCACUCCAGCCUGGGUGACAGAGCAAGACUCUAUCUCGA